rnacentral:tRNA from 1 species
GCCUUCGUGGUGUAAUGGUCAGCACGCUCGGCGCGUAUUCGAGAGGCCCGAGGUUCGAGUCCCGUCGAGGUUU